AAGCGCACGCAGGGGGGUCCCACCUAGGGGACUGAGAGGCUGACGGUGCAUCACGCACGGCGACGCGACCCUUUGAACCUGACCCAGUUGAUACUGGCGGAGGAAGCUAGGGCAUCGCAAAC
rfam:Tropicibacter litoreus R37 strain CECT 7639 genome assembly, contig: 0004